CUCGGGGUUCUGCGUGGAGUGGGGCUGCUGGGCUGCUGCUCUUCUUGCUGCUGCAGGGCUCAGGGCCGCUGAUCGACCCCCACCCUCCCCGUUCCCCUUGACCUGGAUUUCUCACCUUGGAGGCGGCUCAUUGCGAAAGAACAACCCCCUUGCCUCCCCGCUCCCCGGGUUAUCCCGCUCACCUUCUCCUUUGUUCUCCUUCCUGUCCGCAGCGGUCUCCAGGGGUCUCCAAAGGUUGGAGUUAUGGUGUCCCGACGUGCGGCGAGCCGCUGUGCUUCUGCUUAUCAGGACCCGGCUCUUGGAGGGCGAUGACCACAAUCCCACCUCGAAAUUCCACUUUGACCUGUAACCUCUCCUCCUCCUGACGUCGUUCUGGACUUCUUUUAUUGCAAAAAUGAUGCAAAUGAAACUGGUUCAGAAGGUUUUGGACAGAAUGUUGAUGGGAUAUAGUGUCCGUUUGAGUCCACAUAUUGCAGUUGUCAGGCAUAGAAAGACACGAUGGAGGAAGAAACAGUGAAUUUGCU